CUUCUUAGAUGCUUGGUUUGCGGAGUCCCUUCAUUACCACGGCUUUGUGGUCCGUGAAAUGAAGGGAUAACGGUUCUUCUAUAGGUCUCAAUGGGAAGUUAGAGAAGACAAGAUCUAUGCAAGUCCCCCUAAUUGUCGUGGGUUUCUUAUAGUCUAAGGAGACACACGUGAGUCCAUGUUUUGCUGCCAUGUGUUGUAUGAGCCACUCGUUAGUUCGUUCUGUAAUGUCCACAUUGAAAUCCCCGACCAACACAAAGGGUCAUUGCUUGUAGUUGUCGAAAAACACCGCGUCAACGCACGCCUCAAAUUGAA
rnacentral:lncRNA from 1 species